rnacentral:rRNA from 1 species
UAGAACGCUGAAGAGAGGAGCUUGCUCUUCUUGGAUGAGUUGCGAACGGGUGAGUAACGCGUAGGUAACCUGCCUUGUAGCGGGGGAUAACUAUUGGAAACGAUAGCUAAUACCGCAUAACAAUGGAUGACACAUGUCAUUUAUUUGAAAGGGGCAAUUGCUCCACUACAAGAUGGACCUGCGUUGUAUUAGCUAGUAGGUGAGGUAACGGCUCACCUAGGCGACGAUACAUAGCCGACCUGAGAGGGUGAUCGGCCACACUGGGACUGAGACACGGCCCAGACUCCUACGGGAGGCAGCAGUAGGGAAUCUUCGGCAAUGGGGGCAACCCUGACCGAGCAACGCCGCGUGAGUGAAGAAGGUUUUCGGAUCGUAAAGCUCUGUUGUAAGUCAAGAACGAGUGUGAGAGUGGAAAGUUCACACUGUGACGGUAGCUUACCAGAAAGGGACGGCUAACUACGUGCCAGCAGCCGCGGUAAUACGUAGGUCCCGAGCGUUGUCCGGAUUUAUUGGGCGUAAAGCGAGCGCAGGCGGUUUGAUAAGUCUGAAGUUAAAGGCUGUGGCUCAACCAUAGUUCGCUUUGGAAACUGUCAAACUUGAGUGCAGAAGGGGAGAGUGGAAUUCCAUGUGUAGCGGUGAAAUGCGUAGAUAUAUGGAGGAACACCGGUGGCGAAAGCGGCUCUCUGGUCUGUAACUGACGCUGAGGCUCGAAAGCGUGGGGAGCGAACAGGAUUAGAUACCCUGGUAGUCCACGCCGUAAACGAUGAGUGCUAGGUGUUGGAUCCUUUCCGGGAUUCAGUGCCGCAGCUAACGCAUUAAGCACUCCGCCUGGGGAGUACGACCGCAAGGUUGAAACUCAAAGGAAUUGACGGGGGCCCGCACAAGCGGUGGAGCAUGUGGUUUAAUUCGAAGCAACGCGAAGAACCUUACCAGGUCUUGACAUCCCGAUGCUAUUUCUAGAGAUAGAAAGUUACUUCGGUACAUCGGUGACAGGUGGUGCAUGGUUGUCGUCAGCUCGUGUCGUGAGAUGUUGGGUUAAGUCCCGCAACGAGCGCAACCCCUAUUGUUAGUUGCCAUCAUUCAGUUGGGCACUCUAGCGAGACUGCCGGUAAUAAACCGGAGGAAGGUGGGGAUGACGUCAAAUCAUCAUGCCCCUUAUGACCUGGGCUACACACGUGCUACAAUGGUUGGUACAACGAGUUGCGAGUCGGUGACGGCAAGCUAAUCUCUUAAAGCCAAUCUCAGUUCGGAUUGUAGGCUGCAACUCGCCUACAUGAAGUCGGAAUCGCUAGUAAUCGCGGAUCAGCACGCCGCGGUGAAUACGUUCCCGGGCCUUGUACACACCGCCCGUCACACCACGAGAGUUUGUAACACCCGAAGUCGGUGAGGUAACCUUUU